UUGUGAUAUGCACGCUCUGAAAGCAAACGUUAAGAACUCAGCCAACACUCCUGGUCUGCAUUAUUCAUAAAUGGACAGACAACACAUAUACUCCGCUACUUCACAAAGCACAAUAUGUUAAAUGUUUACUUUUACAGUUUUCUAAUUCUUCCUUUCAGAUUGACAGCAGGACAAAUCGCUGGAAGUAGGUAUGUCUCAAGCUUCUUCCACUUGGUCCACUCCAAAGCGGGGUGCAAAGGGGAAGAAGUGGAAGCAGUUGAAUGACACAUGUUGCAUUUUGUAACUGGCAACAAAGUACCAGGUAAAAAAGAUUGUGAAGCCUGCCUCCAUAAAGAACUAGUAGCUCUACAGGACAGAGAUUGGCUUGCCAUCAAGUACUACAUCCAUAACAGAAUUAUAUUAAAAAAAGGGAAAAAAAAUGUUUUCCCACAUCUUCUGUGGUAGUUUGAGUAUGUUACCAGCAAUUAAAAAAGCAAAAUAAACA